UCCUACGGGGCGCAGCAGUCGGGAAUAUUGCGCAAUGGAGGAAACUCUGACGCAGUGACGCCGCGUAUAGGAAGAAGGUUUUCGGAUUGUAAACUAUUGUCGUUAGGGAAGAAAUUGACAGUACCUAAGGAGGAAGCUCCGGCUAACUAUGUGCCAGCAGCCGCGGUAAUACAUAGGGAGCAAGCGUUAUCCGGAAUUAUUGGGUGUAAAGGGUGCGUAGACGGGAGAUUAAGUUAGUUGUGAAAUCCCUUGGCUUAACUGAGGAACUGCAACUAAAACUGGUUUUCUUGAGUAUUGGAGAGGAA
rnacentral:rRNA from 1 species